UAUAUUUCUAUCAUAGCAAUACCUGUAACUUGGCCUUACUGUAUAUGUGUUUUUCCCUUCCCCCUCUGGGUGACCUAAUUGAUAUGUUAAUCAAUGCUCUCCUCUGUAAAAAAUUGUAAAAUCUUACCUAAUUGAUAUGGUAACCAUUGUUGCCCUCUACAAAUAACAGUUGUGGUGCUAAAGUAAGGUAACUAAGGUUGUAAAUUGCUGUUAGACUUCUCUAUUCUUUGCUAAGGAAAACAAGAUUUCUUCUUAUCUAAACUUGCUUGUAUGCAGGGAGACUUGCUUGUUAGCACAACCCUUAUCUGAUCUUGCUCUUCCCAAGACGUGUAAUCGCCAUUUCUGUUUUGUAGUGCGCCAGACCUCCAUCCCCCUCCUUACAUUGUGUGACCAGCGGCUGUUUGUGGAUUUACAAGAUAAAAGCCCUGACUUUUAGCUGUCAGGUGUGCAGUCUCCAAAUUGGCUCCCAGAGACUGGUCAUCAGGCCUGGCCUAAUAAAGCCUUUACUCCCCAAAUUUCAGUCUCUUGCUUCCUUGGAUACCGGGGUCCAAGUUAUCACAUUUGGAGGCUCUCCCUGGAUGGGAGCAAGACCCCAGACUCAUUUAUGAACAUCUGAAAGUAAGUACUCUGGAGGGUUUGUUUGGGCCAUGGUCAAUUUGUAAUUUUGAGGGGACGCCCUCAAUUUAGGAGUGGGAACGUCCCGAGGACAGAGUCAAUUGGUUUUUGGUUUUUUGGACAAAUUCUGUCUGUUUGUGACUCUGCCCCAGGUGGGGAACCGCUCCGUUGGUUAAUUUGUUAAUUCCUCCAGAUCCCAAAAUUUGACCAAUUUUUGAGCAAAGGCCAUUUUCCUGCAGCUUGUCUUGUCUUGUAUCUCUGUGUUUGUGUCCAUUUGUUCUAAUUGUUCUCCUUUUGGUUACCCCAAAUCUAACAGAACAUUAUCUCCUAGGAACCCCUUCUAUGAGCCCAAAAUGGACAAAGGGAUUUAUAUAUUUAUGUUCAGUGUUUUUGUACUUUAAAAUUGUUUGCCUGUUUGAAUUUGUUACUAACUUAGGGCUUGUUGCCCAUUUCUGUUGCAGGAUCCAUGUGGCUUAUUAGAUUCAAGGUUCAUAAUAAGAAAGAUGAUUUCCUUUAGCUCACCAAACUGUGCACGAAACAACCUUUGUUUGUGUCUUUAAUGUUGUAGCACCUUGUUUAAUAUUUUAGUCCUCAGUUUAUUACCUGAAACCUCAGCAUGCCUUUUAAAAAAGAGUAUUUUUCUUUCUGGUUAAAAUGUAAACAUAUGUGCACAUAUAUGUAUAUGUAUGGUUUUUAAGAAUCAUAUCAACUUUACCAAGUAAAAACCAGGUCAUACUGUAAUUGAGCCAGUCAAAAGGUUAUAGUUUCUUUAAAAUACAGCAUUUUAAUGUGGUAAAAAAGACAUAAAAUAUUUAAAUAUGUUGUAGACUACUAAAAGGUGACUUCAAGGGUUUUGUUGAGAGUUUUAAUGUUGUCUGAGAAGCGAGAGAAAGGUAAUUGACUGGUAAUAGUAAAAAAGAGGGAAAAAGAAAGUGGUUUGUCUUCAAGUAAAAAUGUCUGGCUGUGCCAGAAUGUGAAAAGAAGAUAAAACUUGGGGUUAUAGUGUAAGUUAUAAAAAGCUUGAGAAGAUGUAAAUUUUAUUUGUCUUGGUUUAUAGUACUGCAAAUAACAGGUUUGACAAGAAGUAAAUGUGUUCAGAAUUUGACAGUAUUAGAUCAGUUCUGGUCGAUUUAUUUAUAAGAUUGGUAAUCCUUUGCUGCAAAAUGUUUCCAUUAAUAUGAGAUUAUAGGUGAUAAUAGAGAUAAGAUGCAAGUUCUUGCAUGUGCUGUGAACAUCUGGGAGAUUAUACGGCACAAUUUUGUUACCUGUGAAAAAGCCUCUUUUUGUUAAGUAUGUAAUUUCAGUAAAAUGAUGGCCUGCCAUGUGGCACCUUGGGACAAAAGGUGGUGUGCCAUCCAGAUGAAGCCUGCUCUCUGAUCCGGAAUGCCAAAACCAUGUUUUCCUUUUGUCCCACCCCGAUUGGACAUCCAGAGGGCCAAAUCCUUACACCCUGCACACCUUACCUCCUCAAUCCGGAGAACACCUGGUACUCUGUUCUGGACCUGAAAGCUUUCUUCACUUUGCCUCUUGCUCUGGGAAAAACUCACUGAACUGGACUGAUAAAUAUGAACGGAACUUGCAGCAGCUCAAGUGGGCCUUGACAGAGGCCCCAGCCCUGGGACUCCCUGAUGUUACCAAGCCGUUCACCUUGUUCAUUAAUAAACUCGGGGGCAUUGCCAAAGGAGUCCUAACCCAGGACAUUGGCCCUUGGAAGAGGCCUAUAGCCUAUCUUUCCAAAAGGCUCGAUCCAGUGACAGGAGGGUGGCUUCCAUGCCUAAAAAUUCUGGCCGCUGUGGCAAUGCUACUAAAAGAGGCUAAGAGACUCACUUUUGGACAGAAGAUUUCUGUAGUGACCUUCCACAGUUUAGAGACUCUUAUCAAAACCCCUCCCGAAAAAUGGCUUUCAAAUGCUAGAAUUUCACACUAUUUGGCCCUGCUCCUAGACCCAGAGUCGGUAGUUUUCAAGACUUCUUCAGCUUUAAACCCAGCCACCCUUAUGCCUGACAUGGAAGCAGCUUCAUCCAGAACGGCAGUUGAGUGGCCGGGGCAGCAGUGACCACCGAAAAGGAGGUACUCUGGGUUAAGCAGUUAGAGCCUGGCACCUCUGCCCAAAAGGUGGAGCUCAUUGCUUUGACUGAGGUGCUAAAACUAGCCACGGGAAAGAGGGUAAACAUCUAUACUGAUAGUAGAUAUGCUUUUGCUACUAUACAUGUACAUGGAGCCAUCUAUUAGGAGCGAGGUCUCUUAACCUCGGCCAGGGCUAAAAUAAAAAAUGCUUCACAGAUCCUAGACUUGCUGGCAGCCAGAUGGUCACCCUGUCUGCGGUGAUUUCCUCGGUGGCCCCCUCAUAAAGGAGGCUUAAAAAUUGACUUUUAGACAAAAACUCUUAAUUGUUUCCUCCUAUUCGCUGGAGACUAUCAAGGCCCCACCAGACCGAUGGAUGUUUAACUCCCGAGCCAUACAUUAUCAGGCACUAUUUCUGGAAACAGCUGCUUCAAACUCCGCUACUUUGCUGCCUGAGGAUGACCCCUUGUUGCCUCACCACAACUGUACUGAAGUCAUCGAUCACCUCACGGGACUUCGACCUGAUCUAGCAGAUAAGCCACUAUCUGGAGUUCAAUCCUACUUCUCCGAUAGAAGUAGUUACGUGUCUAUCAAGGUAAGCGGGUCGCAGGAGCUGCCAUUAUACACUCUCAGGUUCUAUAGGAACAAAUCUUAGAGCCAGAGACAUCAGCCUAGUGGGCUAAACUCAUUGCCACACUGAGGCCUCAAGUUGUCUUUAUCAAAAAUGGUGUUUAUUGUCUUCUGGGGUCAAAAGAUUGAAAAUGCUCCCCAAAUUUGGACUUGUUGGCUGCCAUCUAAAUGCCAAGGAGAGUGGCUAUUAUCUGCUGUAUAACCCAUUGGACAGAAGAUGAUUUUGUUAUACAGGGAAAUAAUUUGGCAAAGGCCACCUUCCAAAAGAUAGCCAGCCAGACAGCCCCAAAAUCAGUGGGGAUUGAGAUAAACUUAACAUUACUGCUGAUCCCACCUGCUUUCUUUGUCAGAGCCUAUUUGCACUUGAAAAGACCAGCAUCUGGUAGCUCAACUUCCGAGAGAUCCCGGUGGCUAAUAUCAAGCUAGCCCAGUCUGUGAGCUUCAGAUGCCCUCAGUGCCAAUUGGUAAAUCCAAAAGAACUGCAAGAAAUAGAAACCACUGGUUAUCGUGGGACUAUGCCUAGAAAACACUGGAAAAUAGAUUUUACAAAAAUAAAAGGCCUGAACUUCAAGGAUAUAAGUGAUUACUUAUAAUGGGUGAUACUUUUACUAGAUGGGUAAAAGCGUUUUCUACUUAGUCUGAGUCAGCUCUGAUAACAGUUUCCCUGAUUUGGCCUCCCUUUUUAUUCGUGGGGUCCGACAAUGGCCUGGCUUUUAUAGCCUAGUAACUCAAACUAACCUAAGCUUUGCAGAUCAAUUAGAAAACUCCAUUGGGCUUACCAGCCUUAGAGUUCAGGGGAGGUAAAAAGAUAAGUCAGAUUUUAAAGACCAUAAUUACUAAUGGCCUUAAAAACUGGUGAAAACUGGGUGAGUCUCUUUCCUUUUCCCCUUUUGCAUGUGCAAUGCACCCCCCUAUGUUGCAGAUAUUUCCUCUUUUGAGGUUUUAUAUGAGACCUUCCUCUUAUACUUAAAGGUUUCUAAAAAAUUAGCUGAUUUAACUACUCAAUUAGCUGACUUAACCUCCCCCCCCCCCCCGCCAAACUUUUCAGCUAGCUCUGACUUCCAUCCACUGGUUAUUUCCCUGCUGCCCACUGUGAGCUGGAGAGCCUAGACACCUGGACACCGGUCCUCAUCAAGGCACCUCACUGUGAAUCUCUUGAGCCACAAUGGACUGUCAAAGUAGCCCAAAGCCUGCCUGAUUCAUUGUUCCCUCUGCAAGCUGGUCCCGGCUUCCAAAGGCAACCAGCCUGAGGAUAAGUAACUGUCAUUUCUUCCAAGGACUCUUUAAAGCUUAAGAUUGCCAAAUGUAACUGGUGAUCUUGUGUUCUCCUUGUAAAGACCCCGAGGUGGCCUCUGUAUGACUUAAAAAAAUUGUUACAUGUAUGAUAAAACAGAGUAAAUUUAAAUGUUGGUUUUCUUUCUCCUUUUGGUUAACAGUUUUAAUAAUGACAGAUGAGAGACCUUUGUUAAUCCUCUUAUUGGGCCUUAUAUGGUAAACAAGUUGAUAAACUAUGUCAAAGAUCUUAACAGCUUAUGAUUUUAAAGACACACACAAGGUAAUAAACAGAUACCUAUGAGUCAAUGAUUUGACUGACUGACUAAAAUCAGUGGGGAAUGUUGUACUCUAAAAAAAUAGCUUCGUUAUAUUGGCAUCAUAGCAAUACCUGUAACUUGGCCUUACUGUAUAUGUGUUUUUCCCUUCCCCCUCUGGGUGACCUAAUUGGUUUCCUCUGUAAAAAAUUGUAAAAUCUUAGCUAAUUGAUAUGGUAACCAUUGUUGCCCUCUACAAAUAACAGUUGUGUUGCUAAAGUAAGGUAACUAAGGUUGUAAAUUGCUGUUAGACUUCUCUAUUCUAUGCUAAGGAAAACAAGAUUUCUUCUUAUCUAAACUUCCUUGUUUGCAAGAAAACUUGCUUGUUACCUAAAUCUUGCUCUUCCCAUGAAAUGUAAUCGCGCUGUUUCUGUUCUGUAGUGCACGACACCCCUAGUCCCCUAAUUACAUUGUGUGACCAGCAGCUGUUUGUGGAUUUACAAGAUAAAAGCCCUGACUUUUAGCUGUCAGGUGCCCAGUCUCCAAAUUGGCUCCUGGAGACUCAUCACCAGGCCUGGCCUAAUAAAGCCAUUGCUCCCCAAA